rnacentral:tRNA from 1 species
ACGCCGUUGGUGAAAUGGUUAUCAUGCUUGCCUUCCACUCAACUGCUUAACUAAGCAUUGGCUGAGAGCAAGCGGCGGGGGUUCGAUUCCCUCACGGCGUA